GGACACCUAGCUCACCGGGAGCACGCUGGCCGUGUGGACGCGCAUGGUCCCAAAGGCGAGGAACCGGUUCGAUCCCGGUGGUGUUCA
rnacentral:tRNA from 1 species